rnacentral:pre_miRNA from 1 species
ACCUGGCAUACAAUGUAGAAAACUGUGUUUGUAAAUCAACAGCUACAUUGUCUGCUGGGUUU